rnacentral:lncRNA from 1 species
AUUAGCAAAUUCUUGUUAUUUAGUGCUAAUUUUAAACAUUCCAUCUAUUUUUGUAAGACUCUUUUUCGGUAAAUAAAAUAACCAUAAUUUCUCCUAAAUGUUCACUGUAUUUGUUCUGUUUAUAGUUACAGGGCGGCUACGUCACCCUGAAGUCACAUGGCUCUUCUGCUCCUCAAGCGCUUCUCCAGCGGUGACUGCCCCUUAACCCGCCGGGCGUAUUGCCUGCAUCACCCACUAAGUUCCAGGCUCGAUAGGAAGGACAUGGAGGGAUCCCGGCCCACACAGGUCCCCCAAAUAUACACGUCCGUAUGUGUGGGUCUCUCCCUCUUGGUGGCUCUCAGCUGGGGGCAGUUUUUCCCCGAGGGACAUAGGGCAACGUCUGGACAUGGUUUCGUUGUCACAGCUGGUGAGGUGGCCAUGGCACCAGUGCCCAGGAUGUGCCUGGACCAGGAAACAGGAGCCCAGAUGAAGAGGGCAGAGAACGGAGACCCAGAUAUGUGCGUUCCCUGCCGUCCUGCACUCAGAUCUGCAGAGGUGAAUGUCGUUAAUUGUUGGUGUAAGCCCCUCCCAACCUGUUUGUUUUAUUAAAUCUAUAUUUGAUCUCUAUCCUUUCUCCAUAUAUACUUCUAGUUAAAAAUGAGAUCAUGAUGUGAACGUACGUCUGUAAGCAUCUGCUUUUUUCUCCUUCAAAUAUAUUACAGACAUUUUCCCUCUGAUGCCUCAGUCUUCAGCUCCUUCUUCCUGAUGGCUCUGUGUGCUCCCUCCCCUGUAUGGAUGAACGUGAGUUUAGUUGGACGUU